AUGUCUCAAGGGACUCACACAAAUAUGCCUCAAAGGGCUCAGAAAAUUGAGACGGUUGGCUUUCACGAUACGAUCUUCUUCUUAAACGAGAACACAACGACGUACACUUCCAAAAUUCAACGGAGGCUUCACCUUCACACACAGUUCCGACUUGGUUUCAUCGUCAAAACAUGGUUCCGAUUCGAUUUCACCGUUAGCGAUAUCUCAGAGAAACUUAGAUUGAUGUUGAUAUGA